rnacentral:rRNA from 1 species
AGUGAACGCUGGCGGUAGGCCUAACACAUGCAAGUCGAACGGCAGCACAGUAAGAGCUUGCUCUUACGGGUGGCGAGUGGCGGACGGGUGAGGAAUACAUCGGAAUCUACUUGUUCGUGGGGAAUAAGUACGGGAACCUUACCCUAAACCCCCUACGGACCAAGGGGGAAAAUCGGGGGACCUUGGACCCUUGGCGAGUGCAAUGGCCGAUUUUGGAUUAGGUAGUUGGCGGGGUAAAGGCCCACCAAGGCGACGAUCCGUAGCUGGUCUGAGAGGAUGAUCAGCCACACUGGAACUGAGACACGGUCCAGACUCCUACGGGAGGCAGCAGUGGGGAAUAUUGGACAAUGGGCGAAAGCCUGAUCCAGCCAUACCGCGUGGGUGAAGAAGGCCUUCGGGUUGUAAAGCCCUUUUGUUGGGAAAGAAAAGCAGCAGGUUAAUACCCCGCUGUUCUGACGGUACCCAAAGAAUAAGCACCGGCUAACUUCGUG